AAGUCGUAACAAGGUCUCCGUUGGUGAACCAGCGGAGGGAUCAUUAAAGAGUUGCAAAACUCCCAACCAUUGCUAAACAACCACUGUUUCUUCGGCAGGUGGCCGCAUGGCCGCGCGCACCCCUCUCGGGGGGACGCACCCCGCCGGAGCACACCAAACUCUUGUCAUUAUUGAUGCUCUGAGUAAAAAACAAAAUUAUUACAACUUUCAACAAUGGAUCUCUUGGCUCUG
rnacentral:misc_RNA from 1 species